UGCCAGGUCCUAAGCAACUAUCCGCUAAAAUUGUCGUGACUUUCAUUUCUUAUGCUGCAUGAGAAAAAACUUUGUAUGAGCUAUUCAAUUACGCUUAGCGAAGCAAUGAGUGCAAUUAAGUGAAAUUAUGUAUGGUGCGAGUUAAGUGCAAAUGACUUGGAGAUAUUCCCAAGCAGAAGGUGAGAAAAUUUAUGGCGAAUGAAAAUGCGGAAGAGGAGGCGCUUGAGGUGUAGAUAAAAAGAGGUGUUAAUUGGAGGCACUAGCUAGAGGAGA